rnacentral:lncRNA from 1 species
GGAAUAAGGAAUGUAGAAUAAGGGACUAGGGAACAGAGGAUUGAGGAACAGGGAUGAGAGAUUGGAAAACAAAGAACUGGGAAACGGGGACAAAGAACUAAGAAACGGGGACGAAGGAUUGAGAAACAAAGGACUAGAAAACAAGGACGCGGAAUAGGGAAUUGGGAAAGAAGGAUGCGGAACAAGGGACUAGGAAAUGGAGAUGAGGGACUGAGAAAUGAAGGAUUAGGAAACAUGGAUGGGGAAUAGGGGACUGGGAAAUAGGGACAAGGGAUUGAAAAACAAAGGACUAGGAAAAGAUGUACUGGGAAACGGGGAACUCGGAACAUAAAUUCAAGCUCAAGAAUGUAUGCAAAUUUAUGGUUUGUAUGCAAAGACCAUA